UACGUAGGGGGCAAGCGUUGUCCGGAAUCAUUGGGCGUAAAGCGCGCGUAGGCGGCCCGGUAAGUCCGUUGUGAAAGUCAAAGGCUCAACCUUUGAACGCCGAUGGAUACUGCCGGGCUAGAGUCCGGGAGGGGAGAGCGGAAUUCCAGGUGUAGCGGUGAAAUGCGUAGAGAUAUGGAGGAACACCAGUGGCGAAGGCGACUUUCUGGUCUGUAACUGACACUGAGGCGCGAAAGCGUGGGGAGCAAACAGG
rnacentral:rRNA from 1 species